rnacentral:rRNA from 1 species
GAUGAACGCUGGCGGCAUGCCUAAUACAUGCAAGUCGAACGGGGUGCUUGCACCCAGUGGCGAACGGGUGAGUAACACGUAUUUAAUCUACCUAUUAGUGGGGGACAACAGUUGGAAACGACUGCUAAUACCGCAUAAUACAACCUUAGACAUCUUUGGUUGUUGAAAGGGCCAAUUGGUCCGCUAGUAGAUGAGGAUGCGGCGUAUUAGCUAGUUGGUAAGGUAAUGGCUUACCAAGGCGAUGAUACGUAGCCGACCUGAGAGGGUGAUCGGCCACAUCGGGACUGAGACACGGCCCGAACUCCUACGGGAGGCAGCAGUAGGGAAUUUUUCACAAUGGGCGAAAGCCUGAUGGAGCAAUGCCGCGUGAUUGAUGAAGGUCUUCGGAUCGUAAAGAUCUGUUGUUAGGGAAGAAGGAACAGGAGAGUGGAAAAUUCUUGUUUUGACGGUACCUAACCAGAAAGCCACGGCUAACUAUGUGCCAGCCGCCGCCGUAAAAC